GAUGAACGCUGGCGGCGUGCCUAAUACAUGCAAGUCGAGCGAACGGACGAGAAGCUUGCUUCUCUGAUGUUAGCGGCGGACGGGUGAGUAACACGUGGAUAACCUACCUAUAAGACUGGGAUAACUUCGGGAAACCGGAGCUAAUACCGGAUGAUAUUUUGAACCGCAUGGUUCAAAAGUGAAAGACGGUCUUGCUGUCACUUAUAGAUGGAUCCGCGCUGCAUUAGCUAGUUGGUAAGGUAACGGCUUACCAAGGCAACGAUGCAUAGCCGACCUGAGAGGGUGAUCGGCCACACUGGAACUGAGACACGGUCCAGACUCCUACGGGAGGCAGCAGUAGGGAAUCUUCCGGCAUGGGCGAAAGCCUGACGGAGCAACGCCGCGUGAGUGAUGAAGGUCUUCGGAUCGUAAAACUCUGUUAUUAGGGAAGAACAUAUGUGUAAGUAACUGUGCACAUCUUGACGGUACCUAAUCAGAAAGCCACGGCUAACUACGUG
rnacentral:rRNA from 1 species